rnacentral:rRNA from 1 species
AUUCCAGCUCCAAUAGCGUAUAUUAAAGUUGUCGCGGUUAAAAAGCUCGUAGUUAGAUUUCUGCUGAGGACGACCGGUCCGCCCUCUGGGUGAGUAUCUGGCUCGGCCUUGGCAUAUUCUUGGAGAACGUAGCUGCACUUGAUUGUGUGGUGUGGUAUCCAGGAGUUUUACUUUUAGGAAAUUAGAGUUUUCAAGCAGGCACACGCCUUGAAUACAUUAGCGUAGAAUAAUAAGAUAGGACCUUGGUUCUAUUUUGUUGGUUUCUAGAGGUGAGGUAAUGAUUAAUAGGGAUAGUUGGGGGCAUUCGUAUUUAAUUGUCAGAAGUGGAGUUCUUGGAUUUGUUAAAGACGGACUAUUGCAAAAGCAUUUGCCAGGGAUGUUUCAUCG